UUAUCUUUCAGCUCAUGACAAACAAGCGUAUAGUAUUUAAAUUGGACCUCAUUGGAAAUAGACUGGACUCUGACCUAAUGGGCGUUCCGGAUGCUCGUGAUGUAGACAGAUAAGCCACAACUACCAGGAAAGAAUGUCCAGACUGAAAUGACAACUUACCAAUUAUUCAUAGAUAGCCACAAAUUGUGUCACUCAUCAAGCUUCUGGAUAUGAAAUUAAUAUAGCGUGAAUUUUAUUUUUUAAAUGUUUUCCCUCUGCAAAAAUCUCAAAAAUAAUGUUAGCAAUAUGUAGGCCCCUAUUAAUUCUUGUAGGCUGUAUGUUUAUUAAUAUUGUAUUAUUACUGCUAAUAAUUAUCUUAUUAAUAAAGUAACACGUUUGUUGUAAAGAAUAUAGACAUGUAAGAUAAUAAAAUAUAACAUUUUGAGGAUUAAAAUCAGGUCUAUUGAUUUUUGCUGGAUAUACAUGAUAUAGACCUACAGUAUAUAAAUAUAAAAUGUAUACAUAUAUCCCAACUUGAUUUCAAUGCUUGAAAAUAAACAUCAAAUGGAAUUGUGCA